AACGAACGCUGGCGGCAGGCUUAACACAUGCAAGUCGAGCGCCCCGCAAGGGGAGCGGCAGACGGGUGAGUAACGCGUGGGAAUCUACCCUUUUCUCCGGGAUAACGCAUGGAAACGUGCGCUAAUACCGUAUCAGCCCUUCGGGGGAAAGAUUUAUCGGGAAAGGAUGAGCCCGCGUUGGAUUAGCUAGUUGGUGGGGUAAAGGCCUACCAGGGCGACGAUCCAUAGCUGGGCUGAGAGGAUGAGCAGCCACAUUGGGACUGAGACACGGCCCAAACUCCUACGGGAGGCAGCAGUGGGGAAUAUUGGACAAUGGGCGCAAGCCUGAUCCAGCCAUGCCGCGUGAGUGAUGAAGGCCCUAGGGUUGUAAAGCUCUUUCACCGGUGAAGAUAAUGACGGUAACCGGAGAAGAAGCCCCGGCUAACUUCGUGCCAGCAGCCGCCGUAACAC
rnacentral:rRNA from 1 species